AGUGAACGCUGGCGGUAGGCCUAACACAUGCAAGUCGAACGGCAGCACAGGAGAGCUUGCUCUCUGGGUGGCGAGUGGCGGACGGGUGAGGAAUACAUCGGAAUCUACUCUGUCGUGGGGGAUAACGUAGGGAAACUUACGCUAAUACCGCAUACGACCUACGGGUGAAAGCAGGGGAUCUUCGGACCUUGCGCGAUUGAAUGAGCCGAUGUCGGAUUAGCUAGCUGGCGGGGUAAAGGCCCACCAAGGCGACGAUCCGUAGCUGGUCUGAGAGGAGGAUCAGCCACACUGGAACUGGGACACGGUCCAGACUCCUACGGGAGGCAGCAGUGGGGAAUAUUGGACAAUGGGCGCAAGCCUGAUCCAGCCAUACCGCGUGGGUGAAGAAGGCCUUCGGGUUGUAAAGCCCUUUUGUUGGGAAAGAAAUCCAGCUGGCUAAUACCCGGUUGGGAUGACGGUACCCAAAGAAUAAGCACCGGCUAACUUCGUGCCAGCAGCCGCCGCGG
rnacentral:rRNA from 1 species